UGUCUUUCUCCUGUGCAGUGAUAGAGGCUGACCUUGCUCCCACUGCUGCUCUGGGGUCCUUGCUCACAAGGAUGUGGAUACAGAGGAGGAGAGGGGACACUUCCACUGGGUUUAUUCUCAGUUCAAAAUAUUACCAGGAAAAACCCUGUAAAAUCCCAUUGAGGUUUCUCCUCAAUUACUGCUGUCUCAUUUCCCCCCAUCAAAUUCCUCAUGGACUUGUCAUCAGCAUUCAUCUUGCUUGUGCGGUUGGUUACACCCUGACCCACACUGUUCCCUGGAGGGGAGGAGCAUCCUUGCCUGAGUCAGAUGAGCUCUGCUCACAUCCUGCAUCCUCCAUGCUCUGAUGUGUGCUUUGCAAGCACCAGCCGUGCUCAGGCCCACUGCACCACACUUGGCUAUAUGCUGCACAUUCACACUGCAGCACCUAGUUCUUGUUUUAGGCUGGAUUGAUGGGCUGAGGCCAAUUGUAGAGGCUCAACAAGACCAAGUGUCAGGUACUGCACUUUGGCCACAACAACACCAUACAGUGCUACAGGCUUGGGGCAGAGUGGCUGGAAAGCUGUGCGGAAGAAAAAGUUCUGUGUGUGUUGGCUGAUGCUUGGCUGAAUGUGAGUCAGCAGUGUGCCCAGAUGGCCAAGAAGGCCAAUGGCAUCCUGGAUUGUAUCAGAAAUAGUGCAGCCAGCAGGAACAGUGAGAUGAUGGUCUCUCUGUUCUCAGCACUGCUGAGGCUGCACCUUGAAGGCUGUGUUCAGUUUUGGGCUCCUCACUACAAGAAAGAUAUUGAGGCCCUGCAGCUUCUAGCCCAGGGGUCUGCAGGACUCAUGUUACAGAGCUUAGGAAAUACUCAUAAAAUAUCAGGUUUCUUUGUUGCAGGCCUUGGAAAGAAACAAGAGCACCCUUUGGUGCUGGGUGAAAGAUGUACAAUGUCGUCUUCCUCCUGUGACACCAGAGGCUGCAUUGAGAUCAUCUGCAAACUGCUUUCUGCAGGGACCAAGGAAGUGCUGCUAAAAAAUGCCCCAGAAGUUUGUCCUGGUGGAGAGGCUGUUUUUCCUUAUAUCAGUGCUCCAUGUCAGAGCUGUGCUCUCAAGAGACGUCUGUUCCUGAAAGGCAUGUUCACUUCCAUGCCUUCCAAGGUCAAGCUUCAACGCGAGAUUUGAAGAUGUUAAAUGUCAGCAAACAGUGGAGCAGUUUGUUAAGCACACUCAGAAUGUAGCAUAUGGCUAAUGUGAUCCAGCAGCACAUGACAACCAACAUCAGGACAUUGGAACUCUCAGAGCACCAGGGUUGAGUUCUCCCUUGCUUUGAAGGCGAGAUCACGGGCUGCACGUAGAGAUGAGAGAAGAUGUUUGCUGCUAAUCCUGUUGGCUGGGAUGUCUUGGCAUCACCCCAGCUAUUUCGUGGUCGUGAAGUACUGUCCUGCACCAGAUCCUGAUGCACUUACUGACUGUGAACAAGACUGCAGACUCAGGACAGCCAAGUGCUAGCCCACACAACUGAAGUUGUCAUGAUCUGGCCUCAUGCACAUCGUCUCUUUCACCCAAAAAUCUCUCUUGCCCUUCGUGAUGAGAGCUCAUAGAAUCAGAGCACCAAUGAACAUUUGAACCCUCCAGAGUGUGAAGUAAUAAUGGCCAGCUGGUGUCAGUGAGCAAAUGGAUAAGAUGUGAGGAUUAAAUCUGAUUUAUACCACACCACUGAGGACCUCUAAAAGACUGGUUUGGAUUGGUUUUCAGAGGAUUUUAGAACAAUCUCUGCCCUUUCUAAAAAGCAAUAUUCCUCUGUUCAAGGAGGAUCUUUGGAUUUCCAGUUUAAGAAUAAAUUCUGGAAAACAGAUGGAUCUACUGCUGCUGAGAUCCUCUGGUCGAAUUAAGAAGAGAAAACCAAUAGGACAUAUAUGCCUAUAUAUAACUUGAAAUUCCUUUCCUCCUGUUAAAACGACAAAUUGUGAUUGCUGUGCUCAUGGGCAGCCUGCAUUCUUCGAGCAGACUUGUUGUGUUGAACAGAGAGAUUGAUAAAGUCAGAUGUUUCCCAGGAUAUGAUGGUCAGUGAUGGACUGCUACUCAGGAAGCCAACGAUAAUGCGAUCUGGGUAUGGAAAAAAUGUUCGUCUUCUUGUAAACAUAGGAAAACAGUGAAGACAAUUUUUAUAAUUUUCAGUGAAGACAAAUUAAUAAUCACAAUUAAUUAUGAUUGUUAUCAUAAGCUUAUGAUUCUCUUUGUAAUUCUUUAACAAAUUGAAACAAUAAUUU